rnacentral:snRNA from 17 species
AUACUUACCUUAUCUAGCCUUUGGGAGAUCAUGAUGCCUCAAAGGCAGGACGGGAGACCUGCAUCGCACAUCGUGGAGUCGACCGGCCUGGUUUGUCCUGCGGGGCCAACCUGGGUGCAAUUUUUGAUUC